rnacentral:rRNA from 1 species
UACGUAGGUGGCAAGCGUUGUCCGGAAUUAUUGGGCGUAAAGCGCGCGCAGGCGGCUAUGUAAGUCUGAUGUUAAAGCCCGAGGCUCAACCUCGGUUCGCAUUGGAAACUGCGUAGCUUGAGUGCAGAAGAGGAAAGCGGUAUUCCACGUGUAGCGGUGAAAUGCGUAGAUAUCGGGAGGAACACCUGAGGCGAAGGCGGGCUACUGGGCCGAUACUGACGCUGAUGCGCGAAAGCCAGGGGAGCAAACGGG